GAGCCGAUUUUGGUCGCUGGAUACUUGUACGUAAUUUAACGAUCCGUGAUAGCCAUAUUCUCAAGAACAGUUUACACUGAUCCAAACAGUUGCCACCCCCGUUGUAUUCUCAGCCGUUUCCAGCUGGUUAUUUCAUCUUUUUGUUUUUAAUAACCUUGUUUCUUUUUUGUCACCUAAAUCCUAAUGUGUGUUUUAAUCAGGUCUGGUUUCAUGUUUGGGAGAGAAUCAGCUCGUAAAGAACUUGGUCAUAAUCAUUUCCCUCCGCCGGAACGAUUCCACUUCCUCAUCUCCCUCCCGCUCAUGACUCAACCGCUAAACUCCCUCCCUCCCUCCCUCUCUCUCUCUCUCCCCCCCCCCUCUCCUCCCUCCCCUCCCUCUCGCUGGAAAAAGUUCAAAUUUUGGGAUAAUGCUAAUGUUUAAUCACUCAAUCGAGACAGUAACUCGCUAGUUAACAAUUGUUUAGAGUUCUGAGCACCAUUUCACAUGUGAGAUUGAGAGAAGGAUGAGCGAAUUGAGUGACUGAGUUAUAGUAGUGUUUCUAGACUACCCUUUGUUUUGACUCUACUAAUUAAAAAAGUCUGUGAUUUAUUACUCACCAUAGCACAUGUCAUUGCAGCGAGGUUACAGGAAAGCCUUGGUUUUCACAAGACGCAGUGCAUUUUGCGCUAAGACAAUUACUUUGGAGGAGGCUUCAACUUGCUUAAAAGAGGCCGCUAAUAAUGACUUGUGAAUAUUGUUUAGCUCAUGCUUAAAGAUUGUGCUUCUGUUAGUGAAGGACUUGAGCAAAACAGUUCUCCCUUGCACACAAACACAUGUAAUAAUUGGAUAAUAACAUCUAUAACUUUUCCCUGAACUGCUCCUCCAUUUCAUACUAAAGCAUACUUUGAUAUAUCGGAGUUGCAGAAAAAAGGGGAUAGUAGCUACCUGAAGCGCUCAGGAAGUUGGUCGAUGAAACAAUUAGCAAUUUAUAUUAUCUAUAUUUCUGCAGACCAUGAUAAAUACUCUUGAUGCCAUAUUGAUCCUUGAUCUUCGUUAUUGUAUAGGUUUAUGUAUCUUGGCUCUUGCUAUUUUGAUUUUUUGUGGUGGAUAUUUAGAUCUUAUCUCUUUUGCUACCAAAUACAUUUGAACUUUUGCUCAAGUGGGAGAUUGGAGCCAUUCGUUCUGCGAGGCACACAUCAGAUGGUGACUCAGCUGGCCAGGGUACACAUCAGCGGAGGAUUAGGCUGGAGUUCAUAUGUGGUUUUGCAGCUUCCAGGAUGCUGACCUACAAUGAAAGGUAACAACCACUGGCUGCUGGCCUACUCAAAUCUUUUGUUCCUUGUUUCCACUUCAAAUAAAAGGGAGAAGAGGUGGCCCCGGUGGGGAUCACAUUUAGUUUUAGUAGUAAAAGUUAAGAGUAUGUUGAUGCAAUGGGGCGGUUUGUUUACCGGAAGCAGCUUUUGCUUGAGACUUUUGCUUUUCCUGACCCGUUUGUGUAAAUAAGUAGAAAUACUUUUAAGUAAUUGAGAAUGCUAGCUUUUGUCUCAAAGCUUCUAAUUCUUUCUAAAAACUUUAUCAACUUAUUUACAUCUCACUUUUACUCCAUUUUUUUAAUUUAAGUAAUAGUUUCUUUUAAACUAAACCAAACGGCUCCUAUCGUAUGAGAAAUGAAUGAGGAUUCCUACUCCAGUGUUGCUGGAAACUCUGACGCGCAAC